rnacentral:lncRNA from 1 species
GGACAGAGAGGGAGAGAUGGAGUCCUGAGGGGGCGCUGGAGUCCUGCGGGGAAGAUGACGAACAGAGGGGGCGCUGGAGUCCUGCGGUGGAGAUGAUGGACAGGCGUGGUCCUGAAGGGGCAGCUGGAGGCAUGGCAGUGGAUGAUGGACAGGAAGGUCGAGGAGAGGUCCAGAGGGGCGCUGAAGUAACUUAAGGAUGACGAAGUGGAGAGGAACCGACCUGGAGACUCUGGGAGGACCGGCAAGAGCGGCGAAACCUUCCAAUGCUUUUGACUUUGUCCAGCAGCGAGCUGUGCGUUCACGCUCUAGGCGGUUGAAGUGACCCUGUGGUGUGCUUCAAGGACCUUUAUCAUUGGAAAGUGGGUACCCAAGAGGCUUUGAUGAGGUCCCUGAACAAGAAGAGCUGGAGGAAGCUGGGUGAUGACACUUGGAAUCACUUUAGUCAGUCAUUAAAUUGUUGCUGUUCUCA